AUCGACCGCGCGACCUGAACAAACCUCCAGGUGACUCCAGCUGAGGCCCCAGACAAGCCCAAACUCCCAGCCCACAGAAUCUAGUGGCGUUUCUGAAGGCACCUGCUUCAUGGGAUUGUUGAAGAGCACCUGAGCCCCGGGGCACAGAGGCCCUCACGUGGUCGGCAUUAUUCACCAGCCAGCACCUUUCAAGCUUUUGAUUAUGGAGCUACCUACAGCAGGAUUAUAAUAAAAGGGGCAUAAAGUCCUGAACAUAAGGGAACCUCAGUCCAUUUUUCCCAUCCUGUGGCAAUAAAGAUCUAAUUGUAGGAGACCCAUUUUCAGGCCAUUUUUCUUUGUCAUUGGAUCAUAGCUAUAGGUCCACCAGUCAUUCAAAAUUUUCCCUAAGUGUUCCCAGGUGGGUGGAACCUUAGAGGAAGUGCUUCCCAUUUUGGCUCGAGCAGUUGGUAACAGACGUUUGAUAUUAGCACGCUCAAAUCAAAACAUAAACCUUCACCUCAUCAGCUGGAAGUCACACAUAAAACAUAAACCAUAAAAGGAAACAGCAAAGGGAUGCUCAAAAAAGAAAAAGAGAAACAUAUGGCGGAGACCCGCCCAAACGUGAUUUCCGAGUCCCACUCGACCUGGACCGUUGCCCCAAAGCGGCGUCUUACAUCAGAAUCUCCCUUUGCAGGGAGCAUUCCACAUCAGGAUUUCCCUUUGCAGAGAAAUCCUCAAAUUGGUACCGAAGUUCCCCUUAAGGGGACCGUCAAAGGUCACGGAGUGCAGUCCGGGAGACUCACCGUAGGUGCUG